GAUGAAGAACGCAGCGAAAUGCGAUAAGUAAUGUGAAUUGCAGAAUUCAGUGAAUCAUCGAGUCUUUGAACGCACAUUGCGCCCCCUGGUAUUCCGGGGGGCAUGCCUGUCCGAGCGUCAUUGCUGCCCUCAAGCACGGCUUGUGUGUUGGGCCCCCGCCCCCCGGCUUCGGGGGGCGGGCCCGAAAGGCAGCGGCGGCACCGCGUCCGGUCCUCGAGCGUAUGGGGCUUCGUCACCCGCUCUGUAGGCCCGGCCGGCGCCCGCCGGCGACCCCAAUCAAUCUUUCCAGGUUGACCUCGGAUCAGGUAGGGAUACCCGCUGAACUUAAGCAUAUCAUAAGCGGAGGA
rnacentral:misc_RNA from 1 species